UACAGGGGGUGCAAACGUUGCUCGGAAUCAUUGGGCGUAAAGCGCACGUAGGUGGCCUGUUAAGUCGGGUGUGAAAUCCCUGGGCUCAACCCAGGAAGUGCACUCGAAACUGGCAGGCUUGAGUACUGAAGAGGGUCGCGGAAUUCCCGGUGUAGAGGUGAAAUUCGUAGAUAUCGGGAGGAACACCAGUGGCGAAGGCGGCGACCUGGGCAGAUACUGACACUGAGGUGCGAAAGCGUGGGGAGCAAACAGG
rnacentral:rRNA from 1 species